rnacentral:rRNA from 1 species
GCCUACGGGUGGCUGCAGGCGCGAAAACUCUACAAUGCAGGCAACUGCGAUAGGGGAACAUCGAGUGAUCCUCAUAUUGGGGGUCUGUCCCACCGUCUAAAAAACGGUGGUUAGCAAGGGCCGGGCAAGACCGGUGCCAGCCGCCGCGGUAAUACCGGCGGCUCGAGUGGUGGCCGAUAUUAUUGAGUCUAAAGGGUCCGUAGCCGGCUUUGCAAGUCUCUCGGGAAAUCCAGCGGCUUAACCGUUGGUCGUCCGGGGGGUACUACAUUGCUUGGGACUGGGAGAGGUAGGAGGUACUCAGGGGGUAGGAGUGAAAUCCUGUAAUCCUCUGGGGACCACCGGUGGCGAAGGCGUCCUACCAGAACAGGUCCGACGGUGAGGGACGAAAGCUAGGGGCACGAACCGGAUUAGAUACCCUGGUAGUCCG